rnacentral:rRNA from 1 species
ACGGAAGGCAGCAGUGGGGAAUAUUGCACAAUGGGGGAAACCCUGAUGCAGCGACGCCGCGUGAGUGAAGAAGUAUUUCGGUAUGUAAAGCUCUAUCAGCAGGGAAGAAAAUGACGGUACCUGACUAAGAAGCCCCGGCUAACUACGUGCCAGCAGCCGCGGUAAUACGUAGGGGGCAAGCGUUAUCCGGAUUUACUGGGUGUAAAGGGUGCGUAGGUGGCAUGGCAAGUCUGAAGUGAAAUGCGGGGGCUCAACCCCUGAACUGCUUUGGAAACUGUCAAGCUUGAGUACAGGAGAGGAAAGCGGAAUUCCUAGUGUAGCGGUGAAAUGCGUAGAUAUUAGGAGGAACACCAGUGGCGAAGGCGGCUUUCUGGACUGUAACUGACACUGAGGCACGAAAGCGUGGGGAGCAAACAGGAUUAGAUACCCUGGUA